UCUUUCGCUUGGACCGCUCGUGUUUGGGCAGGUUCCAGGGCAGCGUGUCCCCCGGCGCCGGCGACACUGUCCCCGACCUCUGGCUUAAGUCCUCUUCGUCGGAGAAAUCGGCGGAGGACGACAUGGAGCAUCGGUAGGAUGCGUUGCCGGAGCUCUGCACGGGAAGACAGACAGGAAGUUUCCUGCUCACUUAGGUGGUGAGCUUCCACUAGAGGUUGUGUUUCCUCAAGGCGAGGCGCUACACGCCUUCUAGCAUGACGAGGACUUGAUCUAAAGCCCUGUAACAGAAAAAGCAAUCAUUGUGUUUGACAUCUGCCAGAAUGGAGUCAUGUAACAACAGAAAAAUCAUACAGGAUCUUAACAACAACUUGAGUAAAACAUCUCCACUGAAGCCCUUAUGUGAGAAACCCAGCACUCAGAAAUGAAUGGUCCAUAUAAAGAAUCAAACUUCUGCAAGGAACAUGGUGUGGGAUUCCUCUGACCAAAGCUCAGCAGAUGUCCCCUCCCUGGGUCCCCUUCUCAAGUCACUGAAGUCAGCAGGUCAGAAGAACCAUUCCCUAGUAGCACCUAUUUCUCUCCAUUGCCAUAAAGGGAGCCCAAGCUGACUGCUUCACUCAUAGACAUCUAUACUGUAAGUAUGCAAAAUAAGAUAGGAGGGAUCAGACCCAGGAUGACUAGGUUUUGGUCUGCCUACAGUAUUAAUCAUUCUGUAUUACAAGCAGAUUUCCUCUUAUUUUCCUCCUUCUACAUGAAAUAACUCCAGUGUCUUCCAUCACUUUUUUUUUUUUUUUGGAGAGUUUUACAUGACCUUAUUCACCAACAUCACUUGUGCUAGAUCCUCAUAGUUCAGCAGAGUACUCUUAUAGAUUUGUAUUACUGAUAUAUAUAAUAGUGUAGCAUGCUUUUCCAUUCUGUUUAAAUAUUUCCCAACCCAUCUUCUUUUCUGAUCAGGCUAUGUAUCUGAAAGAGGUCUUCAAUUCAUUGUCAAGAGUAAUUCAAAAGGCCCUUUCUGGAGACCAUAAACUUAAAAAUUAAUAAAGUGGAUAAACGACUUUUCUCUGUAAUAUACCCAGCCAUAUCAUGUGUGUUCAUUUGCCCCAUUCUUCAGAAUUUCUUCAGUAUGAUCUGGUAAUAUUGAAUUAUAUUAUUGAAUUACAUUGAAUAUUUGAUAACAAAGUAUGUGAUACUCUGCAAUCCUUGUUAUGUUUUUACCUAUUCCCAUUCCUAAACUUCCUAAAGAACUUGUCCAACUUCUGGGGUUUUGUAUUUAUAGAUGAGGACAUUUUGGAUAAUGUGUUGAACCUUUCCUUUCACUUUCUUAAAGAAUUAAAAAGAAAUGCAGAAAAAUUA